rnacentral:ribozyme from 13 species
UUUUUUUUUUUUUUUUUUUUUUUUUUUUUUUUUGGACACAACUGAGU